rnacentral:miRNA from 1 species
UCUCCAGCUGUUUUCAGACUACAAUUCCCAUCAUCCCUGUCUUGCUAGCUAGGGAUGAUGGGAGUUGUAGUCCAAAAACAGCUGGAGA